ACAAAGGCUCUUUUCAGAGCCACCCACUCUUUCUAAAGAGAGCUGG
rfam:Heterocephalus glaber contig168511, whole genome shotgun sequence.